UACGUAGGGGGCAAGCGUUGUCCGGAUUUAUUGGGCGUAAAGAGCGUGUAGGCGGCCAGGUAGGUCCGUUGUGAAAACUCGAGGCUCAACCUCGAGACGUCGAUGGAAACCAUCUGGCUAGAGUCCGGAAGAGGAGAGUGGAAUUCCUGGUGUAGCGGUGAAAUGCGCAGAUAUCAGGAAGAACACCCGUGGCGAAGGCGGCUCUCUGGGACGGUACUGACGCUGAGACGCGAAGGCGUGGGGAGCGAACAGG
rnacentral:rRNA from 1 species